UACGAGGGGGGCGAGCGUUGUUCGGAAUUAUUGGGCGUAAAGGGUGCGUAGGCGGUUUGGUAAGUCUUAUGUGAAAUCUAUGGGCUCAACUCAUAGACUGCAUGAGGAACUGCCGGGCUUGAGUAUGGGAGAGGUGAGUGGAAUUCCUGGUGUAGCGGUGAAAUGCGUAGAUAUCAGGAGGAACACCGGCGGCGAAGGCGGCCCUCUGGAUCGUUGCUGACGCUGAGACGCGAAAGCGUGGGGAGCAAACAGG
rnacentral:rRNA from 1 species